rnacentral:lncRNA from 1 species
UUAUUGUCUUCUGGUCUUGUAUCCCUCUCAGGUGGGGGGAAAGUAUGUGGAGGGGAGGUGGAUCUGCUGUGUGGACACACCUCUUCCUGCAGGGCGGGGCCAAGUGAGACAGGUAUGAUGCUACAGGAAGUCAGCAGAGGAACGGCCACGCCGUCUCCUCAGCACAGCAACGGGGCCGCUGUCGCCAACGGCAACGACAGGUAAUGGAAGAGCUAAAAAAGCACAACAUUAUCUGUAUAAUAAUUUGUAUUAUUAAACAGUUGAUACCUUAUACCAUUCUGUGUCCUGUGUGUCAGAUCCUGCUGACCCUGCAUCUAACUGUGAGGAGGACUCAGUGUCCCACCAGUCAUGUACGCUGAGCCCAGCCAGCCUGACCCACACACCUAGCCCAGGGGUCAAUCACAUCACUGACAAGACACAGGGACUAUUUGGGCCAUCUCCAGAAAGGAGAGCAGGCUACGAAUGUGAAGGAACUCAUCCAAAAUAUCACAGGCAAUCCAGAACAAGGAUACAGAGGACUUCCAACCAAAAAUGUUUUAUCAGAGUCUAUUUCUAUCCCUUCAACCAAUGAGCAGUGACUGGGGGAAGCCACGAGUCACUUUGUUCUCAAACACUGAUACCUGGAAAGAAUUAUCACGGGAUGGACAGAGAGACAGAAAGACUAAAACUCUCUUCCCAGCUUGGUAGUGGACUCUAACCACUGCUGUUAGUCGUAUGAACCUGAGGUUAAGCUUCCAAUGUAGCAGAUACUUUGCCCCCAAUCAAUGGAAUAUGAUACCACAACCUGACAAGGAGACUAGACGCUUAGCAAUUAUUUAAUUUAUAUCAAAAUAAUCAGUCUUCUGAGAGAAAAAUAAAAAAAACAUUCUUUGACAGUGUUUCAUCUUUAUGAGGAAUUGUAUGAUUGUGCAGCUACUGUAUAUGUGUCCUCUAUGAUGUUGUUAUACAUGUAUGUGUGUGUACAUAUACUAGACUAAAACAUGUCUUGGAAUCCAAUAUUUGUCAUUUCUAACCAGAGUGCCAUCUCUGUUUUUGUAAGGUUGUGAAGGUAUGCCCCCUACAUCCAGGGAUGGUACUGAAUGGCGGGGGUGGAGUGGUGCAGUAAAUGGUAUUUACCACAGUAGUCAAG